AACGAACGCUGGCGGCAGGCCUAACACAUGCAAGUCGAACGCCGUAGCAAUACGGAGUGGCAGACGGGUGAGUAACGCGUGGGAACAUACCCUCCGGUUCGGAAUAACUCAGGGAAACUUGAGCUAAUACCGGAUACGUCCAAGGUCUUAAUCGGCCUUGGAGAAAGAUUUAUCGCCGGAGGAUUGGCCCGCGUCUGAUUAGCUUGUUGGUGAGGUAAUGGCUCACCAAGGCGACGAUCAGUAGCUGGUCUGAGAGGAUGAUCAGCCACAUUGGGACUGAGACACGGCCCAAACUCCUACGGGAGGCAGCAGUGGGGAAUAUUGGACAAUGGGCGCAAGCCUGAUCCAGCCAUGCCGCGUGAGUGAUGAAGCCUUAGGG
rnacentral:rRNA from 1 species